rnacentral:lncRNA from 1 species
AAUUCACAGUCUACAUCUCUACAUGGCUCUGUAGUGUUUUCACUCUAAUUCACAGGUCUACAUCUCUACAUGGCUCUGUAGUGUUUUCACAUCUAAUUCACAAGUCUACACUCUCUAUAUGGCUCUGUAGUGUUUUCACAUCUGAUUCACAAGUCUACAUGGCUCUGUAGUGUUUUCACAUCUAAUUCACAGGUCUACAUGGCUCUGUAGUUUUUUCACAUCUAAUUCACAAGUCUACAUCUCUACAUGGCUCUGUAGUGUUUUCACAUCUAAUUCACAGGUCUACAUCUCUACAUGGCUCUGUAGUGUUUUCACAUCUAAUUCACAAGUCUACAUCUCUACAUGGCUCUGCUAGUGUUUUCAUCUAUUCACAGUCUACAUUCUACAUGCUCUGUAGUGUUUUCACAUCUAAUUCACAGGUCUACAUCUCUACAUGGCUCUGUAGUGUUUUCACAUUUAAUUCAAAGGUCUACAUCUCUACAUGGCUCUGUAGUGUUUUCACAUCUAAUUCACAGGUCUACAUCUCUACAUGGCUCUGUAGUGUUUUCACAUCUAAUUCACAGCUCUACAUGGCUCUGUAGUGUUUUCACAUCUAAUUCACAGGUCUACAUCUCUACAUGGCUCUGUAGUGUUUUCACAUCUAAUUUACAAGUCUACAUCUCUAUAUGGCUCUGUAGUGUUUUCUGUGGCUUACUGCCGGUGUAGCACGCCUGUUUGUGUGUGUGUUGUUUCUGUGAGUAUAUCGUAGUUUUAGUAGUCCACUGUAUCAAAACUGCUGUCUGCUUGCCCCGUCCUCAUAUCUAAAGAGCAGGGCAGGCUUCUAAUAAUGGGUACAUGUAGGGGUGUGCGCUUGUGUUUGCUUUACAUCGUCUUGGAUACAGUAAAGUCUGUUUUCUGAUGGUUUGUGUCUUGGUAUGCAUCACAAAUUAGCAACUGACUUUUUGAUGACUUCAUGAUUUUUAAGUGAUGACAUAAUCAACAAAACUUGAGUAUUUAUAGUAGUAACAGUGACAUGGCAAAGCCAUUCUCAUUAGGCUGAUGUCAAACCACAGCUACUGACUACUGUUACCACCUCAGCAGUGAUAUGCAUUCAAUAAGGUACCAGUUGUUUAUGAAAAAGGAUUGCAGCUAUAUGAUGGGUACUGGAUGUGUUUAAACCUCUUAACCUAAUUGUGACAGCAUUGACUAUGAUAUCUUACAAAAUAUAAAUAAGUAUCUAUUUCUUUUGUUUUCUGGGGGGUGGGGGGUGUGGCCUAGCCAGUCUCCAGACCUUAAUCCCAUAGAAAAUAUGUGGAGGGAGCUGAAGGUUUGAGUUGCCAAACAUCAGCCACGAAACCUUAAUGACUUGGAGAAAUCUGCAAAGAGGAGUGGGACAAAAUCCCUCCUGAGAUGUGUGCAAAUCUGGUGGCCAACUACAAGAAACUUCUGACCUCUGUGAUUACCAACAAGGGUUUUGCCACCAAGUACUAAGUUAUGUUUUGCAGAGGGGUCAAAUACUUAUUUCCCUCAUUAAAAUGCAAAUCAAUUUAUAACAUUUUUGACAUGCGUUUUUCUGGAUUUUUUUGUUGUUAUUCUGUCUCUCACUGUUCAAAUAAACCUACCAUUAAAAUUAUAGACGAAUCAUGUCUUUGUCAGUGGGAAAUGUACAAAAUCAGCAGGGGAUCAAAUACUUUUUUCCCUCACUGUAUGUGUGUGUAAAUAUUGUACAUAAUCAAUGCUGUAAUUUGGGGACUCUGUAUGCUUUUUGAUUGAGUGAUGCGUCUCCAGCUUUGUUCAAGCGAUAACUCCAUGUCGUACAUCUGUGUCUCCUCGACUACUGUGUAUAUAAACUUGCAUGCGUGUAUGAAAACGUAUUUUUCUUCUUCUACCAGAAUAAGGUUUUUUUAUUUUUAAAGUUAAUGUGUCACUAUAGUUAGUUUUUGUUUAGCCAUUUUGUUGAAGUGAACAAGGUGUGUGCUCAGAUUAAUAUAGAUGUGUAUAUUAUUGUGAAAGGAAUGCCAAUCGUGGGCAGGUCUAUAAACAUGAAGCUGUGUAGAGAAAUAUUUGCCAAACGAUGCCCUGCGAAUAUUGUUUUAAUUAAAGGGGAUUGGCAGGAAUAGCUGGCAGUGCUGUUUAUGAGCGUCAAGUAUAUGAAAUAAAGAAUGAUGUUCUCUAGCAAAUUAAAUCAUGUGUUCCUCUGGAUAUAAAGCUACACAACAUUGAGUACAUUGCAGCUUACAUAAAUAGGUCUACUGCAGGUCAUUUUGGAGACAAUAUUAUGUCAGAGUGCAUGCACACUGGAGAGCAUGGGCGCAAAAACACUACACCUCAAUAACAAUAGCAUUGUUUAGUUCUCACAAUCACAACUCAAAAAAUGUAAUCGUAUGAGUUACUGUGCCUUCAAUGUUUGCAAAUCAGAUAUCAAUUGUUGUUGGGAAUAAAAAAGGUCAAUUUUCAAUUAGUAUUGUUGGGUUCUGAGAAUAUGAAAUAUACUUAUUCAUGUCACUGAGGAAGAGAGGGUAAUGUAUGAUGUUUACAUUAUGUCAGGAUAUGUUAUUGUUAGCCAUCAGGGAUCCUAUGGGAGGGAUCCUCUGGGAGGAGAAGAGACACAGUCUGGUACCAGGCACCAAGACAGACGUGAGUUGAGCAAGGAAGCGAUCACAUGUGGCAGGCAUUGAUAAGGGGAGAGAUCUUUGGAUUAGACAUUAAGGGGGUUGAGGUCAGGUCAGGUCACCUUAAGGGAGAAGGAAGGGUUUAUUACCCCAUCACUUCGUCUUCCUGUCGAACCAUGAAAUAUGUCAGGGUUGGAGAGAAGGAGGAGUGCAUCUAAAUUGGAGUAUAUAUACUUGUGUUGGUGGAAACAUGUUUUGUCUGAUGCAGCUGUAUUGACCCUCUGGGAGAAUUAACUUGGUUAAGCUUUCAUAGUGUCCGUAGAGUUUUUUACUCUGAGAAUUAGAACCUAACAGUAUAGUCUACUAUAAUUCCAGUCUAUAAAGUAGGAAAAUAUACAGUGGAACCAAAGUAAGGGCUUAU